UACGUAGGGGGCGAGCGUUAUCCGGAAUUACUGGGCGUAAAGCGCACGCAGGCGGUUCGCCAAGUUCGGAGUGACAGUUGUCGGCUCAACCGACAAAGGACUUCAAAAACUGGUGAACUUGAGGACGAGAGAGGAACAUGGAACUCCAGGUGUAGUAGUGAAAUGCGUAGAUAUCUGGAAGAACACCAAUGGCGAAGGCAAUGUUCUGGCUCGUUUCUGACGCUCAGGUGCGAAAGCCAGGGGAGCGAACGGG
rnacentral:rRNA from 1 species